GUGCUCGCUUCGGCAGCACAUAUCACUAAAAUUGGAAUGAAGAGAAGCAUGGCCUCUGUGCAUGAAUGACAAAGCAAAUUCGUGAAGCAUUCCAUAUUUUU
rnacentral:snRNA from 1 species